rnacentral:rRNA from 1 species
UACGUAGGGUGCAAGCGUUGUCCGGAAUUAUUGGGCGUAAAGAGCUCGUAGGCGGUUUGUCGCGUCGGAUGUGAAAGCCCGGGGCUUAACUCCGGGUCUGCAUUCGAUACGGGCAGGCUAGAGUGUGGUAGGGGAGAUCGGAAUUCCUGGUGUAGCGGUGAAAUGCGCAGAUAUCAGGAGGAACACCGGUGGCGAAGGCGGAUCUCUGGGCCAUUACUGACGCUGAGGAGCGAAAGCGUGGGGGAGCGAACAGG